CUUAAGUGGGGAAUAACGCAUCGAAAGGUGUGCUAAUACCGCAUAAUCUCUGAGGAGAAAAGCAGGGGAUCGCAAGACCUUGCGCUUUUGGAGCGGCCGAUGUCUGAUUAGCUUGUUGGUAAGGUAAAAGCUUACCAAGGCUUCGAUCAGUAGCUGGUCUGAGAGGACGACCAGCCACACUGGGACUGAGACACGGCCCAGACUCCUACGGGAGGCAGCAGUGGGGAAUUUUGGACAAUGGGGGCAACCCUGAUCCAGCCAUGCCGCGUGAGUGAAGAAGGCCUUCGGGUUGUAAAGCUCUUUCAGCCGGAACGAAACGGUUACGGUUAAUACCCGUGACUACUGACGGUACCGGAAGAAGAAGCACCGGCUAACUACGUGCCAGCAGCCGCGGUAAUACGUAGGGUGCGAGCGUUAAUCGGAAUUACUGGGCGUAAAGCGUGCGCAGGUGGUUUUGUAAGUCAGAUGUGAAAUCCCCGGGCUCAACCUGGGAACUGCGUUUGAAACUACAAGGCUAGAGUGUGGCAGAGGGGGGUGGAAUUCCGCGUGUAGCAGUGAAAUGCGUAGAGAUGUGGAGGAACACCGAUGGCGAAGGCAGCCCCCUGGGUCAACACUGACGCUCAGGCACGAAAGCAUGGGGAGCAAACAGGAUUAGAUACCCUGGUAGUCCAUGCCCUAAACGAUGUCAACUAGUUGUCGGGCCUUAACGGGCUUGGUAACGUAGCUAACGCGUGAAGUUGACCGCCUGGGGAGUACGAUCGCAAGAUUAAAACUCAAAGGAAUUGACGGGGACCCGCACAAGCGGUGGAUUAUGUGGAUUAAUUCGAUGCAACGCGAAAAACCUUACCUACCCUUGACAUGUAUCGAAGCCCGCAGAAAAGCGGGGGUGCCCGAAAGGGAACGAUAACACAGGUGCUGCAUGGCUGUCGUCAGCUCGUGUCGUGAGAUGUUGGGUUAAGUCCCGCAACGAGCGCAACCCUUGUCAUUAAUUGCCAUCAUUUAGUUGGGCACUUUAAUGAGACUGCCGGUGACAAACCGGAGGAAGGUGGGGAUGACGUCAAGUCCUCAUGGCCCUUAUGGGUAGGGCUUCACACGUAA
rnacentral:rRNA from 1 species